UUUAAGGGCUGACCACCACUAAGGCAGCAUCUCUUUCUGGUGAUUAUUCCUUUGUGGUGUGUAUCCAUCCUGACUGAGAGCCUCAGCACUGAACGACCUUCUACAGGUAGAUGUUUGGAGGCUUCUUCCAAGCUUGAAUUGUUCACCCACAGGGGUGAACAUAGUAACUUCUUCAAAGAAUUAGUGUGUGUGGUGAAGAACAAGUGUAAAUUAAGAAAGAGGAGAAAAGGAAGGAAAGGAGUCCUCCAAAGACAAGACAGGCAAGAGCAGCAAAGUGACACCAAGUGGAAAGUCAAUGGGAAGACAAACACUGCGUUUUCACUAAAGCUGUUAAUUCACUCUUCACAUCUCCCACUCGAGUCAUCAAUCACAACAUAAACUAAAUAGAGCUGAGAGCACAGCUGCUUGCCUGCCACUGUAAAUGAACCUUCUGUAUAUGGACUACUGCUCCGGCAAGCUGGCGUCUUCAGAGGAAAAAAACCUCAGCUAGAAAAAUAAACAAAUCAGUCAGGGCUGAGGAAAGAGGCCAAGCAAGAGAUCCAACAUGAAGCAUGAAAUGUUCUUUUUAAAGUCAACUGCUUUGGACAAGUAUUUUGACUGUAGAAACAUUGCUUACAGAAGGACUGCUGAACAGAAAACUUGACAGCAGCAGGCGCUAAACAGAAAGCCAUCUUAGUCAGACAUAGCGCACAGUUGCAGGAAGAGUCAGCAAGUGUCAAGACUGGACUGCUGCCCUUCUCUGCACUUUGGACAGAACAGUUGUGUAUUGCAGUCUUCAUUCAUCUUCUAGACAUAUUGCAACUAAAGGGAAACAGCUGAAAUUCCUGCUUGGAAGUCAGGAGUGUUUGGGGUGUACCAAGGAAGAAAAAAUAUCUACAUGCAUAAAGAGUCUUGCAAAGAGCAAAAUUUGUUCUGUAAGGGAUAUUUGUCAGCUACUAUGAUGCACAUAUUUUAUACUUUUUCCAAGCCUGUGUUUACUGCUGUGUCAUUAUAUAGAUAUUAUAUGUUGGUCUGUGGCUCACAGAUCCUGAUGUUUCCAGGUAGAGUACUAGUAAAUGAAAGUAAGCAUAGACUUUGAGGCAGAAACUACCAUUCAGAACAUGAAGUAUUAUCUUUGCUUUAUGCCUUAAAAUCAUACUGCAACUAUAUAGUUUUGAGUAAGAAAGGGCGGAUCAUAUCUGGCUCCCAUUACGUACAAAAUGGGCAUGUACUGUACAGUUCUUUUAAUUUAAAAUAUGUAACUUUAGGGUAUAUUUUGGGGCAUGUUUAGACAAUAGCACGCAUAAAGAUUGACAAAUGCUGGAUCAAAAUUCAUUGCGGGCCUUUUGUAAGAACAGAAUAGUGCAUAAAUACUUCUUCUAAACUUCGGCAGCACUGAAGUGAAAGGAUAUGGAAAUCACAACAUAUGAUUUAAAGAAGAAACAAAAUCACAGAGGAAGAGUAAAGUAAGGUUUUUGUUGGCUAUGAAUGUGCCCUAGACUGCCCUAGAAAUACUGUUUUAUGACAGAAGGGAAGUUAAUCACAUAUUCCCAAAUAUAAAUGUCAUCAUUAGCAGUAUGCUGGCUACAACUGUAAAUCUAUGCAGGAAGAUGCAAAUGCAAGUUCUGAAGAAAUGCAGAGGUUACCCUCCCAGACAGCAGUGUGUUCCUUCUUUAACCCAAGAAAUGCUGCAGAACAGGUAUGCAGCAAUGUUUCUCAGUUUGUAGGAUACCAUACAGUUACUUAUUGUAGAGGGUGCUGCACCAGCUGUUAUUUUACAGUCUCACCUAAAAAGUUUCAAAGUUGGAAUACUGCUGAAAGGAAACAGGAAGGCAGAGAAGACCUGGUUUGAGUGAAAUGGCUAAACUUCUGGGAGGUUAGGUACUGGCAAAAGGAUGAAAUCCUGACUUCACUGAAGACAGGGUUAGUAAGAGAGGGAGUACAGCAUCUAAUCACAUCUGUAAUUAGGAGAUUACUUUUCAUACCUCUGAGAAUCCUGGAAUGGGUUAUUAACAAAAAACAUAUUGAAUUCAAAUCAGCAUGCAAACUCCACUAGCUUUCCUGAGGCUGACAUCAGGCCUUUCCAUUCCUGUUAUGUCAAACAGCUUGCUUUGGCUAAUCUCAGUUCUAUGGGCUUAAUCAGAAAUAGACAUUUCCUGCCAUGUUUUUGUUUGUUUGGCUUUUCCUGUGAGUGAUUAAAGUACCUUUGUAACUUCUUGCAUUACAGAUUAAAUACCUCCUGCAGGUGGGCUGAAGUAAUCACAUUCUGCUGAAUGUUUAUUAAAAUAGUAAUUGCUUUCAUUUCCUCAUAUAGACAGUGCACA